rnacentral:rRNA from 1 species
UCGAGCGAAUGGAUUAAGAGCUUGCUCUUAUGAAGUUAGCGGCGGACGGGUGAGUAACACGUGGGUAACCUGCCCAUAAGACUGGGAUAACUCCGGGAAACCGGGGCUAAUACCGGAUAACAUUUUGAACCGCAUGGUUCGAAAUUGAAAGGCGGCUUCGGCUGUCACUUAUGGAUGGACCCGCGUCGCAUUAGCUAGUUGGUGAGGUAACGGCUCACCAAGGCAACGAUGCGUAGCCGACCUGAGAGGGUGAUCGGCCACACUGGGACUGAGACACGGCCCAGACUCCUACGGGAGGCAGCAGUAGGGAAUCUUCCGCAAUGGACGAAAGUCUGACGGAGCAACGCCGCGUGAGUGAUGAAGGCUUUCGGGUCGUAAAACUCUGUUGUUAGGGAAGAACAAGUGCUAGUUGAAUAAGCUGGCACCUUGACGGUACCUAACCAGAAAGCCACGGCUAACUACGUGCCAGCAGCCGCGGUAAUACGUAGGUGGCAAGCGUUAUCCGGAAUUAUUGGGCGUAAAGCGCGCGCAGGUGGUUUCUUAAGUCUGAUGUGAAAGCCCACGGCUCAACCGUGGAGGGUCAUUGGAAACUGGGAGACUUGAGUGC